AUUGAACGCUGGCGGCAGGCUUAACACAUGCAAGUCGAGCGGAAACGAUACCAGCUUGCUGGUAGGCGUCGAGCGGCGGACAGGUGAGUAACACUUAGGAAUCUACCUAGUAGUGGGGGAUAGCUCGGGGAAACUCGAAUUAAUACCGCAUACGACCUACGGGAGAAAGGGGGCAGUUUACUGCUCUCGCUAUUAGAUGAGCCUAAGUCGGAUUAGCUAGAUGGUGGGGUAAAGGCCUACCAUGGCGACGAUCUGUAGCUGGUCUGAGAGGAUGAUCAGCCACACCGGGACUGAGACACGGCCCGGACUCCUACGGGAGGCAGCAGUGGGGAAUAUUGGACAAUGGGGGCAACCCUGAUCCAGCCAUGCCGCGUGUGUGAAGAAGGCCUUUUGGUUGUAAAGCACUUUAAGCAGUGAAGAAGACCAUAUGGUUAAUACCCAUAUGCGAUGACAUUAGCUGCAGAAUAAGCACCGGCUAACUCUGUGCCAGCAGCCGCGGUAAUACAGAGGGUGCAAGCGUUAAUCGGAAUUACUGGGCGUAAAGCGAGCGUAGGUGGCUUGAUAAGUCAGAUGUGAAAUCCCCGGGCUUAACCUGGGAACUGCAUCUGAUACUGUUAAGCUAGAGUAGGUGAGAGGGAAGUAGAAUUCCAGGUGUAGCGGUGAAAUGCGUAGAGAUCUGGAGGAAUACCGAUGGCGAAGGCAGCUUCCUGGCAUCAUACUGACACUGAGGCUCGAAAGCGUGGGUAGCAAACAGG
rnacentral:rRNA from 1 species